GGUUCUACCUUCCAUCUUUAAGCCUAUGUUGCUCCCUAAACAUUAGAAUAUGAGCUGGGCUUGGUCUCAGGAGAACUUGUUCAUUGGCUCCCAAACUUGUGUGCACAUUAGAAUCACCUGGGGGAAUUUAAACACUCCGGUGGCCAGGUCACACCCUAUGCCAAUUAAAUCAGAACAUCUGGGGCUGGGAGUGGGAACAGUAGUUUUUAAAGAUCCCCAGGUGAUUCCAACAUGCAGCCAAGUUUGGGAACCAUGACCUGGUGAUGUACUGAAGGGGGUUACAGCCUGCAGCCAACUGAAUCAACUUCAUAGAGCUCAGAUCUUCUUGUCUUGUCGAGACAUGAGGGUACAGGUCCCAGGUCCCAAACUAGGCUGGGAGCAUUCUCUCUGGGGUGUCUCCUAGCCUCGAGGUGAAGAUAUGCUCUGGGGAGGGUUGACAGAGGCCUGGGAGAGAUUCCCUUUCUGCAGCAGAGGGUGCUGGUUCCAGGCGGGAGCUCUGAGGGGUUCAGUCCCCAGGAGAGCCUCAGGUCAGCUGGGAAGUAAGCAGCCAGUUCUGUCCUUCCUUCCUGAAUGCAGCCCCAAGCCCUGGGGUUCCUGACACACUUCUGAUUAAGGACACGGUUCUGAUUCCCACUCUGCGAGCAGCCCUGAUUCCUGCUGCUCAGCCAUCCCGGGUAGCAGGAGGCCAGGUGAGGUGGCAAGGGGUGGGAGGCUGUGGAUGCUCAAGGUGUAACUCUGUGGACUUUCACAAAGACAGUGACAGCAAGAAAAUUCUUUCCUGGUGUUUCCCUAGAGCUCCUGCAAUGACAGUCUCGGAAGGAUCAUCUCUGGCAGGCUCUGAUAUUCUCACUCCUCCACACUCUCUGACAAGCAUCUACAUGGGUGGUUCUCAAACUCUUACCAGAAUCCUCUGAAAAUGAAAAAAUGAAGGUCACACUUGUAGAGCGCCUGGUCUACAGCCUCUCUCCAGAACACCUCCAGUGUGCCACAGACUGAAAUCAGAGGAAAACAGCAGGAAACAAUAAAAAGGGAAGGGGAGAGCUGAUGCUGCCCCGCCUGAUAGGAGAGGCAGGGCCCCCAUCUUGCAUGUCCCUCCUGCUCAUAGCUGACAGUGUGCCUGCAUCACAGAGCACCGUGAAUAUUUCUGUAUGGUGACGUAGCUGGUACACGCAAACACAGGCGACAAAUGCCAGUCUAUCGUGUAAACUUCUGGAAAGACAAUGUCUGUCUGUGGCUUUCUAAAUGCUCAACAACUGAACUCAACAAAAAAUACUGAGUUGGCCUAAAAUGCCCAAAGUACCAUAUUCUAAGCACAUCAUGUCAAAAAUCUACUGGGGAUAAAACAGUGAAUUAGAUACUGACAGAGUUCUUGAUCUUCUGGAGUUUACUGCCUUUCAGAGAUGACAGUAAACAAGAAAUGGCAGAGGUGAGAGCUUGAAAAGAAAGCUACCGUUCUAAGAGCAGGCUUCUCCCUCUUUGGACUGUUGAUGCCCUGCUGACUUGAACCAGAUUAUAAAUCUUGGGGAGAUGGAAUUGGCCCCAAAUGGGCUACUUGUUGUGUUCACCUGAGCUGACCCAUAGAGCCACUUAAAACCAGAGGUUAAAUGUUUCAGCAUCUUGCUGAAAUCUUUCAGCUCAUGC
ensembl:lncRNA